UGACCCGUCUUGAAACAAGGACCAAGGAGUCUUACAUGUGCGCGAGUCAUUGGGCUCUGCGAAACCUAAAGGCGAAAUGAAAGUAAAGGCUAGCUUGCUAGCUGAGGGGUGAUGACCGUUCCUUCACAGGGCGGUCCGCAACCCCGGGGCGUCUCAUUCUCUUUGAGAAGUGGCGCACCCAGAGCGUACACGUUGGGACCCGAAAGAUGGUGAACUAUGCUUGGCCAGGACGAAGUCAGGGGAAACCCUGAUGGAGGUCCGUAGCGAUUCUGACGUGCAAAUCGAUCGUCGGAGCUGAGUAUAGGGGCGAAAGAAUAAUCGAACCAUCUAGUAGCUGGUUC
rnacentral:rRNA from 1 species